UGUAAGGUUGGAGGUGUGGAUGGGGCCAUUUCUUCUUGUUAAAAAGCCUGACGGAGAAUAAAAUCAAUAAAGAGGAAAAGAGGCAGAUUCCUCAUUUUAUUAUUUCAACCCCUGGAUCUAGCUGUGUGCCCUGAAUUACUCAGUUACAUGUCCUAGCAAAAUCACUCCUGCCUGAUUUUUCGCUUGUCUGUCGAUGAUGGUUUGAGCUGUAUUUUCUGACACUUACAACUGAGUUUUGACUUAUAGAGGAAAGCAAGAAGCCAGUGAGGUGGUAGAAAAGAGGAUGAUUAUGUAAGGGGCUAAAACAAAGCAAACAUUAUGGUGUUUGGAGAUACAAGGGAGACAUUACAGCACAAAUUACAGAAUAAUAAAUCCUCAGGAGGAUGGCGUUUUUGCUACUGGUUGAGAUGGUCAAGUCAUGAGACAGCAGCUAAAGGCAGCUUUACAGAGCUUCCACUGUGGUUUAAAGAACGCAUGUACUGGAUCCCAAGAGCAUGCCCUAAAAAUGUCCUGCACACUAAUCUCUGUCCCAGAGAUGGCUUCGCGGGCAACCCAAGCAGUAACAUUGAUGGGGCAGGAAGCAGGAGACGACUUAGGAGUAGAGUUGUGAUGUGCUCCUUAAGCUUGCUGCUGAAGGAACCAUGACUGAAAUCCCUCAAGAAGAGAUGAAACCAAGAGGAGAUUGGGGCCAAAUGGCUGAAGUUCUCGAGUCUCCAGGAAACCCCGUAAAUAAUAGAUCGUUCUCCGAAAAUAAGAAUAAACAAGUCAAUGACAGAAAAAUAAAUGAUAAACAACUUUCCAGAA